rnacentral:rRNA from 1 species
AUUGAACGCUGGCGGCGUGCUUUACACAUGCAAGUCGAACGGCAGCGCGGGCUUCGGCCUGGCGGCGAGUGGCGAACGGGUGAGUAAUACAUCGGAACGUGCCCAGUAGUGGGGGAUAGCUCGGCGAAAGCCGGAUUAAUACCGCAUACGACCUGAGGGUGAAAGCGGGGGAUCUUCGGACCUCGCGCUAUUGGAGCGGCCGAUGGCAGGUUAGCUAGUUGGUGGGGUAAAGGCCUACCAAGGCGACGAUCUGUAGCUGGUCUGAGAGGACGACCAGCCACACUGGGACUGAGACACGGCCCAGACUCCUACGGGACGCAGCAGUGGGGAAUGUUGGACAAUGGGCGAAAGCCUGAUCCAGCAAUGCCGCGUGUGUGAUGAAGGCCUUCGGGUUGUAAAGCACUUUUGGCGGGAACGAAAAGGACUGUGCCAAUACCACGGUUCGAUGACGGUACCCGCAGAAUAAGCACCGGCUAACUACGUG